rnacentral:lncRNA from 1 species
CCUGAGGCCAAGGCUUAUGUGCUACAACUUAAUUAGGGAGGGCAAUUCCCUAGUAGGGAUCGGGAAUUAGGGAAAAGUAGAGUGAGGCAGGGAAGGAGGGAAAUGCAAUUGGAGGAUAGCUAUUAAGAACAACUGAUCCCUUGAUCUUGGGGAACUGUUAUUGAAAGGGAUAUAUAUGAUUGCUUCUCAGGACAGUCCUCUGAUGUGUUAAAGGGAGAAUUAGUUGUUGGCUCCUGUUUCCCUUUGGUCAAAGAAUCUUUCCAGUGGGUGUUAAUCCUCCUGCACUCCCUGAAUGUACAUAUGCAGACAUACCCAGCAUCAACGGGAAAGCUGCGGGACAGGAUGUCAGAGGUGUGCAUGAAGUGAGGUGCUAUUGGCAUGCACUGAGUGAAGUUGGUUGAAAUUUACACAGAGUUGGCUGCCACAAUAUGGGCUGAGCUGGAACAAGAGGUCAGAGGCCACAGAGAAAGAGAUCAUCAACUGCAGUUGCAAAAUCCAUCAUGAUAUUUGCUGUAAACAGGAUAUCUAAUUCAGCUGGAGCAUCUCCAUAAAGAUUGUUCUAGGCCUCUCUGGGGAUCUUCAAUGUCCCAGGGCAAACUCUUCACUGUCAACUCUUUUCUGAGUGCAAAGAAGAUGAUAAAAUAUAAUCACGAAAAGUCAGAUGAAAACACAAGCCUCCAGGAAAGUUGCAGCCAACCAAUUUCACAAUCUUGUUCCAGGAGUGCCUGACCCAGGUUUCAAAAGAGAAGGGAAAAGAAACACUUGGGAAAAAUGGAAGUUUCAUCUCUGGCCUGCAUUACAGCUUCUGGCAUAUUUUUAGAUGCCAAUAAGUAAUGUCAAAGAAACAGCUGUUAAAAUGAUCCUGCUUAACAGCCAUAAAGGAAUGAAGAUUUCCACAGAGAGCUUUAUCAGUCUCCGUGGAGCUGCCAUUUCCUGCUGACUGCGAGACAAGAUGGAGUGCCAGAUUGUCAUUUAGUUUAACUCCAUGGAAAUGAGGCAAGGGAAUCUGACCAUGAUUAAACCUUUGCAUCCAGCAAAAGAACACAGGGCAAUCAAGGAAACCUUCUGCUGGCCCUCGGGGGACAGACUGUUGACACGUCUGGAGGAGCUAAACCAACAACUUAAAGAAAUAAAUAAAUGACCUAACACCUCCUGCUGGAACCUGUGACCUCUCUUUGCCGUUCUUGUAAUGUGCCAUUGAUUGGCCAGUCGGAAGGGACACUGUUUCAGCAGCCUGCUGUCCAUGAGAGAAUGACUUCUUUCUCCGCUUGGUGUGUCAGUUGACCCCUCAGGAGGUAUGGCUGAGAGUUCAGCAUCAAAUGGCUUUUAACACCUGGGUUUCAUUCUGAAUCUCCCUCAAGUCCCAGCAGUAAUGAAGCAAUUGUAUGUCCUGCCAUAAUAAAUCUGAAUCAAAGUGAAGCCAGUACCCCCUUCCUUCCAGGGAGCAGAGUAUAUCAGUUAAGACAGACUAGGAGCAUUUUGUGCAGUGCUCUGAUCAGAAGGAUGGAAGCUCCAUCCUUUGGCAGAGAGCAGUUCUGAGUGCUUUUCCUGUGCAGGUUGCCAUUUGUAUUAGAAAUUUGACUGCAAAAGAGUUUAAGCAUUAUUGGUGAAUUUCUAAUCCUUUAUUUCAAAGUUCUUGCUUCAGCGAUGUCUUAUUUAUUUAUUUAUUUAUUUAUUUAUUUAUUUUUGCAUUUAGAAUUAAUUCAACUGCAAAAAAAGUGCACAUCUACCAAAUAUCAAGCAUUGCAUUAGAUACCAGGGGUCUUAAGAAGGAUAAGUAGGACAUGGAUUUUUUUCUCAAAGAAAUUUUAUUGUCUGUUUGUGUUAUCUGAAUUCAGAAUGCCAUUGCCUCAUUAGCCUGUUUCAUUGUAUUUGUAGUAUUUGUCAAUGUCAGACAGUCUUUUAUUUAUUUAUUAAUGUACUUGUCCAUUUCCCCAACCAGAAUGAAGCUCCGCAAAGGCAUGUAUUGUGUCUGUUUUGCUUAUUACUGUGUUAUCAGAUCUGGAAUAGUGCCUUGACACAGUGUAGACAUCCAUUAAGA